rnacentral:lncRNA from 1 species
UUGUUGUUACCGAGAGAGGCUGUAUUUACAUGUUCUCAGUUUCAUCCUUAGAAAGAUACUGGUCCAAAAUCUAGAGCCCACGUUCAGAUCAUCUCAGCUCCUACCGCCUUUGUGCUGAUUAAUUGGCCUUGCAAGUAGGUGGGGUCAUGUCCCAGGACAUGCUUUUGAUAGACACGUGUGGGUCAGGAGAGGUCAGCCACUACUGGACAUGAUGUGUGGUAACUGGAUGGUUUGCACAAAUAAAAACAAAAACAAAAAAACCCAGUAAGUGUUCUUCAACAUAGCGUGCAUUCUU